UUAAGCAUAUCAAUAAGCGGAGGAAAAGAAACCAACAGGGAUUGCCCCAGUAACGGCGAGUGAAGCGGCAACAGCUCAAAUUUGAAAUCUGGCCCCAGGCCCGAGUUGUAAUUUGCAGAGGAUGCUUUUGGCGCGGUGCCUUCCGAGUUCCCUGGAACGGGACGCCAUAGAGGGUGAGAGCCCCGUACGGUUGGACACCAAGCCUUUGUAAAGCUCCUUCGACGAGUCGAGUAGUUUGGGAAUGCUGCUCUAAAUGGGAGGUACAUUUCUUCUAAAGCUAAAUAUUGGCCAGAGACCGAUAGCGCACAAGUAGAGUGAUCGAAAGAUGAAAAGCACUUUGAAAAGAGGGUUAAACAGCACGUGAAAUUGUUAAAAGGGAAGCGCUUGUGACCAGACUUGCGUCCGGUGAAUCACCCAGCUCUCGCGGCUGGGGCACUUCGCCGGCACAGGCCAGCAUCAGCUUGCCGUCGGGGACAAAAGCUUCAGGAACGUAGCUCCUCUCGGGGAGUGUUAUAGCCUGUUGUAUAAUACCCUUCGGCGGGCUGAGGUACGCGCUCCGCAAGGAUGCUGGCGUAAUGGUCAUCAGCGACCCGUCUUGAAACACGGACCAAGGAGUCAACCUUAUGUGCGAGUGUUUGGGUGUUAAACCCCUACGCGUAAUGAAAGUGAACGCAGGUGAGAGCUUCGGCGCAUCAUCGACCGAUCCUGAUGUUCUCGGAUGGAUUUGAGUAAGAGCAUAUAGGGUUGGACCCGAAAGAAGGUGAACUAUGCGUGUGUAGGGUGAAGCCAGAGGAAACUCUGGUGGAGGCUCGCAGCGGUUCUGACGUGCAAAUCGAUCGUCAAACAUGCGCAUGGGGGCGAAAGACUAAUCGAACCUUCUAGUAGCUGGUUUCCGCCGAAGU
rnacentral:rRNA from 1 species